GUGAACCUGCGGAAGGAUCAUUAUUGAAUAAACUUGGUUGGGUUGUUGCUGGCUUCUUGGAGCAUGUGCACGCCUAGCACCAUUUUUACCACCUGUGCACCUUUUGUAGACUUGGAUACCUCUCGAGGAAACUCGGUUUGAGGACUGCUGUGCGAAAGCCGGCUUUCUUUGCAUUUCCAGUCUAUGUCUUUAUAUACCCCAUAAGAAUGUAAACGAAUGUUAUUAACUGGCCUUUGUGCCUUUAAUCAAAUACAACUUUCAGCAACGGAUCUCUUGGCUCUCGCAUCGAUGAAGAACGCAGCGAAAUGCGAUAAGUAAUGUGAAUUGCAGAAUUCAGUGAAUCAUCGAAUCUUUGAACGCACCUUGCGCUCCCUGGUAUUCCGGGGAGCAUGCCUGUUUGAGUGUCAUUAAAUUCUCAACCUUUCCAGCUUUUACUAGCUUGGUCAGGCUUGGAUGUGGGGGUUGCGGGCUUCUCAGAAGUCGGCUCUCCUUAAAUGUAUCAGUGAAACCUUUGUUGACUAUCUCUGGUGUGAUAAUUAUCUAUGCCGUUGAAAGUCUUCAUUAUGAGGUCUUGCUUAUAACUGUCUUCUCUAAGGGGACAACUCUUGACAUUUUGACCUCAAAUCAGGCAAGACUACCCGCUGAACUUAAGCAUAUCAAUAAGC
rnacentral:rRNA from 1 species